rnacentral:rRNA from 1 species
UGGGGAAUAUUGCACAAUGGGCGCAAGCCUGACGCAGCCAUGCCGCGUGUAUGAAGAAGGCCUUCGGGUUGUAAAGUACUUUCAGCGAGGAGGAAGGCGGUAAGGUUAAUAACCUUAUCGAUUGACGUUACUCGCAGAAGAAGCACCGGCUAACUCCGUGCCAGCAGCCGCGGUAAUACGGAGGGUGCAAGCGUUAAUCGGAAUUACUGGGCGUAAAGCGCACGCAGGCGGUCUGUCAAGUCGGAUGUGAAAUCCCCGGGCUCAACCUGGGAACUGCAUUCGAAACUGGCAGGCUAGAGUCUUGUAGAGGGGGGUAGAAUUCCAGGUGUAGCGGUGAAAUGCGUAGAGAUCUGGAGGAAUACCGGUGGCGAAGGCGGCCCCCUGGACAAAGACUGACGCUCAGGUGCGAAAGCGUGGGGAGCAAACA